rnacentral:rRNA from 1 species
AACUAUAACGGUCCUAAGGUAGCGAAAUUCCUUGUCAGGUAAGUUCUGACCCGCACGAAAGGCGUAACGAUUUGGGCGCUGUCUCAGCUGUAGACUCGGUGAAGUCUUAGUACCUGUGAAGAUGCAGGUUACCCGCGACUAGACGGAAAGACCCCAUGGAGCUUCACUGCAGGUUGAUAUUGGGAUUUGAUGCAGCAUGUACAGGAUAGGUAGGAGGCAAAGAGAUGGAUACGCCAGUAUUCAAGGAGCCGCUGUUGGGAUACUACCCCUGUUGUAUUGGAUUUCUAACCGGACGACGUAGAGCCGUUGACGGGACAGUGUCAGUCGGGCAGUUUGACUGGGGCGGUCGCCUCCCAAAGAGUAACGGAGGCGCCCAAAGAUACCCUCAGCUUGGAUGGAAACCAAGCGCAGAGUGCAAAGGCAAAAGGGUGUUUGACUGCGAGACCCACAAGUCGAGCAGGGACGAAAGUCGGGCUUAGUGAUCCGGCGGUGCUGAAUGGAAAGGCCGUCGCUCAACGGAUAAAAGCUACCCUGGGGAUAACAGGCUGAUCUCCCCCAAGAGUCCACAUCGACGGGGAGGUUUGGCACCUCGAUGUCGGCUCAUCGCAUCCUGGAGCUGAAGUCGGUUCCAAGGGUUGGGCUGUUCGCCCAUUAAAGCGGUACGCGAGCUGGGUUCAGAACGUCGUGAGACAGUUCGGUCCCUAUCUGUUGUGGGCGAAGGAGAUCUGCGGAGAGCUGUCCUCAGUACGAGAGGACCGGGAUGGACCUACCGCUGGUGCACCGGUUGUUCCGCCAGGGGCAUAGCCGGGUAGCUAAGUAGGGAAAGGAUAAGCGCUGAAAGCAUCUAAGCACGAAGCCUACUCCAAGAUGAGAUCUCCCAUUCGCAAGAAGUAAGACCCCUUAAAGACGAUAAGGUAGAUAGGCCAGGGAUGGAAGUGCAGUGAUGUACGGAGUUGACUGGUACUAAUCGGUCGAGGACUUAAUCAG